rnacentral:tRNA from 1 species
GCCGGGAUGGUCUAAUCGGUUAAGGCGUCGCCCCGGAGAAGCCAAGGCUGCGGGUUCAAUCCCCGCUAAUGGCC